rnacentral:lncRNA from 12 species
AUGGUUCUAUGUUCUCGGGUGCUGCUCCUCCGGGACUGGGGUGGGAGGCAGGGAAAUGGAAAGCAGGUGAACGCGGGCUUUACCUGCGGCUGGGACACUGCGCUGGGCUUUAGCCCCCCUGGGGGCCCCUGGGGGAGACGCUUGCACCUGCUGAGGGGCUGCCUGGAUCCUUUCAAGUUACCCUUAGCCUGUGGUGCUAUCAAACUGUGGGGGAUUAGCGCCGAUCCCCUUCUCCAGGACGGGGUCCCGGGGCACUGGGAGUGGCUGGAGCUCCAGCCCCGUGAAGGCUGCUGGGGUGCGGGGGGCAGAUGUGCGGUGCAGGCCGAAGCUCGGCACUCUGCUGAGCGCGGGGGCCAGAGACGCCCGCCUGUCUUCAAGAAGCAAGCCCUCGGGGUGCCCUCCGAGCCCAGCCUCCUUCUGCUUUCUGGGUCUGAGGCUGACGCUGUAAUGGGAAAGAAGACUCAGAGGCAGAUGGAUGAAGCCACCUGCCUAAAAAUAUGACACCCCUCCUCCCGCCCCCGUUAGCGAUUGCCUUCUUUGGGAUAAGGCCGGGAUUCUCAAACUUUAGCUGUGCAACAGGACCACCUGACAAACAUCUUAAAAAUAGGGAUUCUUGGACCCCAGCCCAGCCGCGUAGAUUCAGGUUCAGCAAAUAUCAGGGCCUGAGCAAUUGUGUUCUCAGCAUUCCCCAGGUGACUUAGAAUGCACACCAGCGGUUAAGGCAUUAAACCACUUCCAAACACUCCCAUCUUGGGUGUCCUAUUGUGACUUCAUUUUUUGUAUCUUUCCCAACGUGCAUUGGGCAAACACACGUCUGGUUUGAUGGAGGGACAUGUGGCAGGCGGUCAGAGUGGCAGUGAUGUCCAGGUGGGGCACGAGAGCGGGAUUCUCGGGACAGCUGCCAGGGGCCUCAAGGCUGCUGGGCGCUGCGUGUGGGAAGGAGAGCCCUGAAGACAGAAGUGGGCAUGCUACGUGGCCGCCCAGUCUACUCCACAGGCGACCCGGCUGUCAAGCUAAAACCUGUAGAAUUGAUUCCUAGGAACAAGGUUCCUGCGUAGCAAAUGGCCUAGGCCUGGGUCUCCAGCUGCAGGAGAGGUGAGUCCCGGAUGCAAGAGUGGAGGCAGGUGCCGGGACAUGGAGGAGGCAGGGGGAGGGCUCAGAAGAGCCCAGUGGGUGCCAGAGGCCUCGUGCCUCGUGCUGCGGAAGGCAGGCCCCGGGUCCCUGGGAAGGUCUCCAGCUGAAGGCGCGAGCCUGGAGCACUUGGGAGCUGCUUGCUGGGAGGAUCGCGUGGACUCUAGACUCACGAGUGCGGACCCAGGCCCACUCGCCACAACCGCAUUUCAUCGAGGCUCUGAGAGGGACGUGGCUUGCUCUGACGGGCGCAGCUCCUCAAACAGAGCCAGGAGAUGAGCGCAGGUCAGUCAGCCCGGCUCCUCCCUGGGGGGCAUUUCAGCUCCACAGUUGAAAGCUCCACAGAAAGCCGUUUCUUCUGGAGCAUUCC